GCUAGCGGGAGGCUUAACACAUGCAAGUCGAGGGGCAUCACGAGGUAGCAAUACUUUGGUGGCGACCGGCGCACGGGUGAGUAACACGUAUGCAACCUACCCUGUACAGGGGGAUAACCCGGAGAAAUUCGGACUAAUAUUCCAUAAUGAUAUUAGAGGGCAUCCUUUAGUAUUUAAAGCUUCGGCGGUACAGGAUGGGCAUGCGCAACAUUAGCUAUUUGGGAGGGUAACGGCCUACCAAGGCAAUGAUGUUUAGGGGACCUGAGAGGGUGAUCCCCCACACUGGUACUGAGACACGGACCAGACUCCUACGGGAGGCAGCAGUGAGGAAUAUUGGUCAAUGGGCGGAAGCCUGAACCAGCCAUCCCGCGUGCAGGAAGACGGCCCUAUGGGUUGUAAACUGCUUUUUCAGUGGGCGAAACCCUCGUACGCGUACGGGAUUGACGGUACACUGGGAAUAAGCAUCGGCUAACUCCGUGCCAGCAGCCGCGGUAAUACGGAGGAUGCGAGCGUUAUCCGGAUUUAUUGGGUUUAAAGGGUGCGUAGGCGGAUGGAUAAGUCAGUGGUGAAAUUCUGCAGCUUAACUGUAGACUUGCCGUCGAUACUGUUUAUCUUGAGUAUGGUCAAGGCAGGCGGAAUGUGUAAUGUAGCGGUGAAAUGCUUAGAUAUUACACAGAACACCGAUUGCGAAAGGCAGCUUGCUGGGUCAUUACUGACGCUGAUGCACGAAAGCGUGGGGAGCGAACAGGAUUAGAUACCCUGGUAGUCCACGCCGUAAACUAUGAUCACUAGCUGUUGGCGAUACACAGUCAGCGGCAAAGCAAAAGCAUUAAGUGAUCCACCUGGGGAGUACGGCCGCAAGGCUGAAACUCAAAGGAAUUGACGGGGGCCCGCACAAGCGGAGGAACAUGUGGUUUAAUUCGAUGAUACGCGAGGAACCUUACCUGGGCUUGACAUCCCGGGAACCUCCUGGAAGCAGGGGGGUGCCCUUCGGGGAACCCGGAGACAGGUGCUGCAUGGCCGUCGUCAGCUCGUGUCGUGAGAUGUUGGGUUAAGUCCCGCAACGAGCGCAACCCUUGCCUUUAGUUGCCAUCAUUCAGUUGGGCACUCUAAAGGGACUGCCGGUGUCAAGCCGGAGGAAGGUGGGGAUGACGUCAAGUCCUCAUGGCCUUUAUGCCCAGGGCUACACACGUGCUACAAUGGGCGGCACAAAGAGAAGCGAUCCCGCGAGGGGGAGCAAAUCUCAAAAAGCCGUCCUCAGUUCGGAUUGCAGUCUGCAACUCGACUGCAUGAAGUUGGAAUCGCUAGUAAUCGCAGAUCAGCAUGCUGCG
rnacentral:rRNA from 1 species